ACGUAGGGUGCAAGCGUUAAUCGGAAUUACUGGGCGUAAAGCGUGCGCAGGCGGUUCGGAAAGAAAGAUGUGAAAUCCCAGGGCUUAACCUUGGAACUGCAUUUUUAACUACCGGGCUAGAGUGUGUCAGAGGGGGGUGGAAUUCCGCGUGUAGCAGUGAAAUGCGUAGAGAUGCGGAGGAACACCGAUGGCGAAGGCAGCCCCCUGGGAUAACACUGACGCUCAUGCACGAAAGCGUGGGGAGCAAACAG
rnacentral:rRNA from 1 species